rnacentral:rRNA from 1 species
AUUGAACGCUGGCGGCAUGCCUUACACAUGCAAGUCGAACGGCAGCGGACCUUCGGGUGCCGGCGAGUGGCGAACGGGUGAGUAAUAUAUCGGAACGUACCUUUCAGUGGGGGAUAACGUAGCGAAAGUUACGCUAAUACCGCAUAUUCUGUGAGCAGGAAAGCAGGGGAUCGCAAGACCUUGCGCUGAUUGAGCGGCCGAUAUCAGAUUAGCUAGUUGGUGAGGUAAAGGCUCACCAAGGCGACGAUCUGUAGCGGGUCUGAGAGGAUGAUCCGCCACACUGGAACUGAGACACGGUCCAGGCUCCUACGGGAGGCAGCAGUGGGGAAUUUUGGACAAUGGGCGCAAGCCUGAUCCAGCCAUGCCGCGUGAGUGAAGAAGGCCUUCGGUUGUAAG